rnacentral:rRNA from 1 species
UUUGAUCCUGGCUCAGGAUGAACGCUGGCGGCGUGCCUAACACAUGCAAGUCGAGCGAGAAUCUGCGGAUUAAUGCUUUCGGGCAAAGAGAAGCAGAGGGAAGCGGCGGACGGGUGAGUAACGCGUGAGCAACCUGCCCUCCACACGGGGAUAGCCACCGGAAACGGUGAUUAAUACCCGAUAGUUAGUGAGAUCGCAUGAUUUUACUAGGAAAGAUUUAUCGGUGGGGGAUGGGCUUGCGUCUGAUUAGCUAGUUGGUGGGGUAAUGGCUCACCAAGGCGACGAUCAGUAGCCGACCUAAGAGGGUGAUCGGCCACACUGGAACUGAGAUACGGUCCACACUCCUACGGGAGGCAGCAGUGAGGAAUAUUGGACAAUGGAUGGAAAUCUGAUCCAGCCAUGCCGCGUGCAGGAAGACGGCCUUAUGGGUUGUAAACUGCUUUUAUACGGGAGCAAUAAGGGUUACGAGUAAUCCGAUGAGAGUACUGUAUGAAUAAGGAUCGGCUAACUCCGUGCCAGCAGCCGCGGUAAUACGGAGGAUCCGAGCGUUAUCCGGAAUUAUUGGGUUUAAAGGGUGCGUAGGCGGCCAUUUAAGUCAGCGGUGAAAUUUUGCAGCUUAACUGUAACAGUGCCGUUGAUACUGUUUGGCUAGGAUUUGGUUGUAGUGUGCGGAAUGUGUGGUGUAGCGGUGAAAUGCUUAGAUAUCACACAGGACACCGAUUGCGAAGGCAGCACACUAAGUCAUUAUUGACGCUGAGGCACGAAAGUGUGGGGAUCAAACAGGAUUAGAUACCCUGGUAGUCCACACUGUAAACGAUGAUAACUCGCUGUCGGCGAUACACAGUCGGUGGCCAAGCGAAAGCAUUAAGUUAUCCACCUGGGGAGUACGACCGCAAGGUUGAAACUCAAAGGAAUUGACGGGGGCCCGCACAAGCGGAGGAACAUGUGGUUUAAUUCGAUGAUACGCGAGGAACCUUACCCGGGCUCGAACGGUGCAUGAAUAUACGAGAGAUUGUAUAGUCCUUCGGGACAUGUAUCGAGGUGCUGCAUGGUUGUCGUCAGCUCGUGCCGUGAGGUGUCGGCUUAAGUGCCAUAACGAGCGCAACCCCUAUCGAUAGUUACCAGCACGUUACGGUGGGGACUCUAUCGAGACUGCCGGUGUAAACCGUGAGGAGGGUGGGGAUGACGUCAAAUCAGCACGGCCCUUACAUCCAGGGCUACACACGUGUUACAAUGGCCGGUACAAAGGGCAGCUACACAGCGAUGUGAUGCUAAUCUCCAAAUCCGGUCUCAGUUCGGAUCGAAGUCUGCAACCCGACUUCGUGAAGCUGGAUUCGCUAGUAAUCGCGCAUCAGCCAUGGCGCGGUGAAUACGUUCCCGGGCCUUGUACUCACCGCCCGUCAAG